rnacentral:rRNA from 1 species
UACGAAGGCGGCUAGCGUUGUUCGGAAUCACUGGGCGUAAAGCGCACGCAGGCGGAUCGAUAAGUCGGGGGUGAAAGCCCGGGGCUCAACCUCGGAAUUGCCUUCGAUACUGUCGGUCUCGAGUCCGGGAGAGGUGAGUGGAAUUCCUAGUGUAGAGGUGAAAUUCGUAGAUAUUAGGAAGAACACCAGUCGUGAAGGCGGCUCACGGGCCCGGUAGUGACGAUCACGUUGGAAAGCGAGGGGAGCAAACAGG